rnacentral:piRNA from 1 species
UCCAAACCAGAAAUGAAUGACCCAAGAGCC